rnacentral:rRNA from 1 species
UACGUAGGGUGCAAGCGUUAAUCGGAAUUACUGGGCGUAAAGCGUGCGCAGGCGGUUAUGUAAGACAGGUGUGAAAUCCCCGGGCUUAACCUGGGAACUGCAUUUGUGACUGCAUAGCUAGAGUACGGUAGAGGGGGAUGGAAUUCCGCGUGUAGCAGUGAAAUGCGUAGAUAUGCGGAGGAACACCGAUGGCGAAGGCAAUCCCCUGGACCUGUACUGACGCUCAUGCACGAAAGGCGUGGGGAGCAAACAGGAUAGAAAC